rnacentral:rRNA from 1 species
GGAAUUACUGGGNGUAAAGCGAGCGCAGACGGUUACUUAAGCAGGAUGUGAANUCCCCGGGCUCAACCUGGGAACUGCGUUNUGAACUGGGUGACUAGAGUGUGUCAGAGGGAGGUAGAAUUCCACGUGUAGCAGUGAAAUGCGUAGAGAUGUGGAGGAAUACCGAUGGCGAAGGCAGCCUCCUGGGAUAACACUGACGUUCAUGCUNGAAAGCGUGGGUAGCAAACAGGAUUAGAUACCCUGGUAGUCCACGCCCUAAACGAUGUCAAUUAGCUGUUGGGCAACUUGAUUGCUUAGUAGCGUAGCUAACGCGUGAAAUUGACCGCCUGGGGAGUACGGUCGCAAGAUUAAAACUCAAAGGAAUUGACGGGGACCCGCACAAGCGGUGGAUGAUGUGGAUUAAUUCGAUGCAACGCGAAGAACCUUACCUGGUCUUGACAUGUACGGAAUCCUCCAGAGACGGAGGAGUGCCUUCGGGAGCCGUAACACAGGUGCUGCAUGGCUGUCGUCAGCUCGUGUCGUGAGAUGUUGGGUUAAGUCCCGCAACGAGCGCAACCCUUGUCAUUAGUUGCCAUCAUUUAGUUGGGCACUCUAAUGAGACUGCCGGUGACAAGCCGGAGGAAGGUGGGGAUGACGUCAAGUCCUCAUGGCCCUUAUGACCAGGGCUUCACACGUCAUACAAUGGUCGGUACAGAGGGUAGCCAAGCCGCGAGGUGGAGCCAAUCUCACAAAACCGAUCGUAG